AUUGUGACUUUGAGGCAGGAGGACUGGGAUAUUCCUUGAGGAGCAAGGACUCAAGAGUGAGGGCAAGGUACAUCAUCAGACAGUGCUCUGCAUCUAGGAGGGCUGUGAGAAGCUGGGGAGCCUCACUGGCUGCUGUAACCAAAACUGGAGUCUGAGCUUUGCUGGAGGUGUGGGCUUGUCACACGCUCUGUCCUUCAUCUGUCCCUUUGAAAGCCAUGCUUAGCCUACGCAUUAUAGCUGCUUGGAGAGACAGUGGUUCCCUUCAACACACUACCUCUCAGGUAGCUAGUGGAACUGAGAUUACUGCAGUGGUUUGGAGAAGAAAGAAAUUAUAUAUCGCCAGGCUGGAUAAAAUCUUAAGGCUGAUGCAUGCAGAGCUCCUGCCAGAUUAAGCAUUUGCACCUGGAAAUCCACAGGGCAGAAGACUGGCGCUGGAGCAUUUGUGUUGCCAUCAGCAGGGCAGCAGCUCGCCCGCACGUACUCAGACUCCCAGGAGGCCAGGGCUCCAGGCUCCUCAAGGAGCUGCAUAGAACACGAAGUGUUCCUUCAGUCUGCACAUGUUGUAGGAGCCACAAAACACCACCUCCCUGUAACAAAUGCACAGCCUCCACUGCACAUGUAGAUCCAUCUGAUCUCAUCUCAUUUCAGAGUGCUGCAUUGCCCCAACAAAAAUGUAGAAUGCUGAUGAUUCAGGAGGGAGAGAAGAUUACAUCACCACAAUAUCCAUGCAAGCAAGUGG